rnacentral:rRNA from 1 species
UACCCGCAGCUCGAGUGGUGGUCAUUAUUAUCGGGCCUAAAGCGUCCGUAGCUGGUUUGUUAAAUGCCUGGGUAAAUCGAUGCGCUUAACGUAUCGAAUUCCGGGUAGACUGGCAAACUCGAGACCGGGAGAGGUGUAGGCUACUCGAGGGGUAGGGGUAAAAUCCUGUAAUCCUUCGGGGAGGACCAGUGGCGAAGGCGCUACACUAGAACGGCUCUGACAGUGAGGGACGAAGCCCUGGGGCGCAAACCGG